rnacentral:misc_RNA from 1 species
GAACGCACAUUGCGCCCGCCAGUAUUCUGGCGGGCAUGCCUGUUCGAGCGUCAUUUCAACCCUCAGGCCCCCAGUGCCUGGCGUUGGGGAUCGGCACAACCCCUCUCCCUCCGGGGGGAGCGGGCGCCGGCCCCGAAAUCUAGUGGCGGUCUCGCUGUAGUCCUCCUCUGCGUAGUAGCACAACCUCGCAGUUGGAACUCGGCGGUGGCCAUGCCGUUAAACACCCCACUUCUGAAAGUUGACCUCGGAUCAGGUAGGAAUACCCGCUGAACUUAAG